rnacentral:rRNA from 1 species
UGGGGAAUAUUGGACAAUGGGGGCAACCCUGAUCCAGCAAUACCGCGUGAGUGAAGAAGGCCUUCGGGUUGUAAAGCUCUUUUACCGGGGAAGAUAAUGACGGUACCCGGGGAAUAAGCUCCGGCUAACUUCGUGCCAGCAGCCGCGGUAAUACGAAGGGAGCUAGCGUUGUUCGGAAUUACUGGGCGUAAAGGGCGCGUAGGCGGUUUUGUAAGUCAGAUGUGAAAGCCCCGGGCUUAACCUGGGAACUGCAUUUGAGACUGCAAGACUAGAGAUCGAGAGAGGAAAGUGGAAUUACGAGUGUAGAAGUGAAAUUCGUAGAUAUUCGUAGGAACACCGGUGGCGAAGGCGACUUUCUGACUCGACCCUGACGCUAAAGCGCGAAAGCGUGGGGAGCAAACA